GUAAUGUGAUGUGUAGCAAUACACAGAUUCAGCAGAGAUUGAAGAUGUGAAUGAAUAUCCAGAAGCUGAACCAGAGGUAAGCUAAAAUAGUUAUAUAUUACUCUUUAGUUUAUUAUAAUGUUUGAUUAGGAUUCAAGCUAAUCUCUGCAGGACAUACAGCGACAAUUGGUAUUUCUAUCUGAUUUUAGAAACUAUUUUAGAAUAUUUUAGAAAGUCUGACUGAUAAAACUUUUGCUUUUGCAAUUACAUAUUAUGUCAUACUUGUGGUACAGACAUUGCACACUUCACUUAAAUUUUCGUCUCACGUUUUCUGCGUGUUAUUGACUUAUUGACUUCUGUGUUGUGUUUUACAGGAAAGCAAUAAUUAUUUUGACCAUGAGAGGACUAACAGUUCAGAUGAGGAAUCUGAGGAAGUGGAUGACCCACAAAAUGCUGAGUGGAGCAGUGAUGUAAAUUCUCAGACUGCACCUAAGGUUUGUUUGAAUUUGAAAUUAGUAAAGUGUUUAUUUUGUAGUCAUUAUCUAGUAAGUGUUGGAUCAUUCCGUGUCAACUCAACCAGAGGGGUCCCUGGCAAAAAACUGUGAAAACUCACACUUAUUUAAAAAUAACAUUAAAUUACAAUCGUAACAGUGGCUGCAAAGGAGCAUUCAUUAGCUAUUUCCACUCCCUUAUUUACAUUUUCACUCGUUUUGAUUUGAAUUAAUAUUAAGACAUUAUGAAUGAUAAUAAAGUUAAUUUGAUCUACAGCUCAACUCAAGCUCAUUGCUUUAUCUUCAGCCCCCCAGUGCUACCAAAUACUGUCUGUAGAUCUGAGUGGCUCUGGUAGGGCUGGGUGAUAUAUCUGACGAUAUGAUCAUGUGCAUCUAGUCAGUUAAUCUGGUGAUGGCGAUUUAGCGGUAAUCAGGGAACCAGAUUUACUGACUAGAUGCGCAUGAUCAUAUCGUCAGAUAUAUCACCCAGCCCUAGGCUCUGGUGCUGCUGCCCUCAAAUGUUAGUCUGGAGCCUGUGAACUUAAAAAUAAAACUGCACAUUGUAAUGUCUGUAAAAGGCAUUUGUUUGUAAUACAGUAAAAAUGGGGGGAAAUGUGAAAAACUGCGUUGCAGAUUGAUUUAAGGUGUGCCUCUAAAUUUUCUGCUUGUGCUCCUAAAAAUGUUCAGUAAGGGGCUACAGUGUUCCUAGUAAAAAAAAAAAAGUUAGUCUGGAGCCCUGGAUAGUAUUGAAGAAAAAUGUAUAUUAUCAAUAUAUACAAUAUAUAUACAAUAUAAGCUUCAACAACUUCUACAACUAUGACAACAGCUGCUGCUGUAGUCACUACAAGUGUAGAUACCGUAGGAAAAUCGAGCAACAUUUGAGCAGCAUUUGGCUAUUGAUAAUCUAAAGUCUCCAGAGCCAUUUCUAAUUCAGUUCAGAGUGAUAUAGUUUCAUCAUUGCAUCAUCGUCAAACUGAAUGGUUGCAAAUCAGAAUUUGGGACAUGGGUAUUAAAAAAAAAAAAGUAUUGUGUAUAUAUGUGUGUGUAUAUAUAUAAAAUCUG
rnacentral:lncRNA from 1 species